CUAAAGGUGGAGCAAAUGGAAUUCUGGAAGUCAAACCAUCUGCUAUGAGACUCUGAAAUGAAAAAGGAGAUGGAACAGGCCUUGUGUGCAAAGUACAUGCAAGACCUACUGAUCUGCCAACAACA